rnacentral:rRNA from 1 species
UACGUAGGGUGCGAGCGUUGUCCGGAAUUAUUGGGCGUAAAGAGCUCGUAGGCGGUUUGUCACGUCGGAUGUGAAACCCCGGGGCUUAACUCCGGGCCUGCAUUCGAUACGGGCUGACUAGAGUUCGGCAGGGGAGACUGGAAUUCCUGGUGUAGCGGUGAAAUGCGCAGAUAUCAGGAGGAACACCGGUGGCGAAGGCGGGUCUCUGGGCCGAUACUGACGCUGAGGGACGAAAGCUAGGGGAGCGAACGGG